AAGUCGUAACAAGGUCUCCGUAGGUGAACCUGCGGAGGGAUCAUUACAACGUAUCCAACGUAUAAACCUUUGUGAACUUAGUUUGUUAAAAACCCUCUGACGGAUUUUGCGAUUCAUUUUGUAAAAUCCCAAUGAGCUUUUACCACACUUAUUAACCUUUUGUAACUUUAUCUAUUGUAACGUAUGACAAAAUAAAAGAGCUGUCGAAAGACAGAGUUCUGUAUUUUAUCAUUUCUUAAUAAAAUAAGAAAUUAUACGCACAACUCUUAGCAACGGAUAUCUAGGCUCUC
rnacentral:misc_RNA from 1 species